rnacentral:rRNA from 1 species
UGGGGAAUUUUGGACAAUGGGCGAAAGCCUGAUCCAGCAAUGCCGCGUGUGUGAAGAAGGCCUUCGGGUUGUAAAGCACUUUUGUCCGGAAAGAAAUCCUUGGCUCUAAUACAGUCGGGGGAUGACGGUACCGGAAGAAUAAGCACCGGCUAACUACGUGCCAGCAGCCGCGGUAAUACGUAGGGUGCAAGCGUUAAUCGGAAUUACUGGGCGUAAAGCGUGCGCAGGCGGUUUGCUAAGACCGAUGUGAAAUCCCCGGGCUCAACCUGGGAACUGCAUUGGUGACUGGCAGGCUAGAGUAUGGCAGAGGGGGGUAGAAUUCCACGUGUAGCAGUGAAAUGCGUAGAGAUGUGGAGGAAUACCGAUGGCGAAGGCAGCCCCCUGGGCAAUACUGACGCUCAUGCACGAAAGCGUGGGGGAGCAAACAGGAUUAGAUACCCUGGUAGUCCACGCCCUAAACGAUGUCAACUAGUUGUUGGGGAUUCAUUUCCUUAGUAACGUAGCUAACGCGUGAAGUUGACCGCCUGGGGAGUACGGUCGCAAGAUUAAAACUUAAAUGAAUUGACGGGGUCAUAGCUGUUUCCU